rnacentral:lncRNA from 1 species
CCUGGUAUACAUUCAAGACCUCUGAUGACUCGAGGUUCAUAUAUAAACUAUGAAAGUCAUAUCCACCUCUUUUAAUUAAUCUGCCUGCCUUUCAGAAACAUUGAUAAUCACACUGCAAAAAGUCGUCACUUGGAUAGAGAAUGAUAUACUCGAGGGAUAUUGCUCCUGGAGUAUUUGUAUAGACCUCUUGAUACUAGAGGGACUUUUGAUGCAAAUGCAGAUCAAACUUGAAGUAACUUAAAGAUGUACUUGUCGUAGAAGCCAUAACCCAAUAAUAUGCUUUGAACCAUAAGGGAUUCAACCAAUAGAGAGGAAGCACAAGCGCCAGUUGGAUUCGUAGAGCUUGCCAUACGAAGAGAAUAGUAAACAAAGAAUUCUUAGUCCAUACACUCGUUCCCUUAUGUUAAUUUUUCAUCAUUUUUAGUAACUGAAAGAAAUUACAGCACUCAUAUUGCUCAGUGCACUAACUCCAGAAUUCCAGUGGUUAUAUUUUCUAAUAAAGUAUUCAUCUCUCUCACUACCUCAACAUCUCAUCAUAGUUUUCAUUGUCAUCAACCUAUGCACUUGUGAUAAAUCAAGGGGCUAUAGUUGGAACUCAACAAAAGGAGGAAAUUUCCAAGGAUUCACCUGACGUUGGAAGUGCUGCCAAGGACAUGUUAAAUUCAGACAAUCAUCUAUUGGGGUAACUGCUGGAGAUAUUUUAAAGCAAUAUAUUGUUGGAGACAAUCAUCUAUUGUUGGAACUCAACAAUAGGAACUUAGUCGGCAAAUCUUUUUGAUCGGAUCACUUUAUGCUUGUGGAAAAAAAGGUUUGUGGAAGCUACCAAAUGAUGAAGAGAGCCAGCAGUCAACUUCCAUGAAUUUAUAGUGUGGAUAUUGUCCCACUCGCUUAUUUUGAGUAAAGGCCCUACAUCAACUUAUGCCGGUGAGAAUAAGCAUCACCAUAGGCCUCCUUUCUAUAGAUAAAAUAAAAUACAAUACUAAUCCAUGUCAUUGGUUUGAUAUUUAAUUACUGCACCCUAGAAUGGAAAGUUUCCGGUUACAUGCCCUUACAAGGACUAGGUAUUACAAUAGCAACCCUCAAGCAUGUACACCAGUAACACCAUCACAUGCUAAGUGUGACACAGAAAAUCUCUGAUCUUGGAGUAACAUUAACAUAUCAUCAUUAUGAAUUCCAAUAAAACAAGGAAUUCUAUGGUAUUUCAGCAAAUCAUGAAAUUGGAUCUCUAGAAAAAUCAACUAUAUUUUGCUUCUCCGGCAUAGAGGCUGAUAAUAGCACUCAAUUGCAGCUGUUCAUUAAAUGAAUCUUGGUAGGAAUAUUGAUUCAAAAAUGAAAAUCCUCCUUCAGUUGGUCAUGGACAUCAAAAUUUCCUGCAAUGCAAUAGCAUUUACGAUUAAGAUUAAAUCAGAAGGAUGAACGGCUGAACAGAAAUCUACCAAAUGAGGCUUCCUACAUGUUGCUAGAGACUGGAUGUCCUUAUAAACUACAAGACUGAAUAUAUAAACAUCUCCCGACUGUUAGCAUCCCACUAUAUUCACCAAAAAAAGGAAGAAACAAAGAAUAUAAAAAAUGGGAAGCUAAGUGAAAGAUAUACAUUUUCUAGAACUAAAGAAAUUUGACACUAAGUCAACUGACAACCGUGAGAAAUGCAUCAAAUGGAUUCGUUACUAAAAGAGUUGACGAUGCAGGAAACCUGAUCGUUGGAAUCUACAUGAGCAGAAAAUACAAUUUUAUCAAUGAUUUACCACUCACCAGUUUAAGCAGAUAAACCGACUCUAAUAACUCCAUGCGGUUGAACUUUCAACAUGUCAUAAUAGACAUGUACAAUAAAUAAGAAAGACAUACAACCAACAUCCGCUCCUUCCAUUUAUUUUCCUCUCGCAACACCAAGGCAUAGGUUUCCUGCACUAUUCUUCAAUUCUCCAUUAUCAAGAUCUAGAGUAACUAUAAGCACCUCGUCCAAAGACUAUAUAAUAAAGCUGCCACAGUUUGUGAAGUUUCUAAAGUUGCUGACAGUAAGAAACACAACAGGUUUAAAUUCACACGGAAAAGAGUAUGUUCUAAUUGAAGGGUGUAAAUAUUGAUUGUAUAAAAAUAAAUAUCUUGGAAAGAAUUUUCACUAGAAAAACAGAUAUAUGAUCCAAUUACGUAAAAAUAUCUGUACAUAAUGGAUGGUCUUAUUGCAUCAGAAACUUCACCAAUAACCAGAGGUUUCCGUUUUCAACAUCUUAAAAGUCAUCAGAAAUCCAGUGAAAGUAAUUAGCUUAGGAACUAGUUACUCUGUCACCUGACUUGAAAACAGAUAAAAGUACUAUCGCUUUUAUUUAGAUAAAAUAAGUUUUUAGUGAAAAAGAUAUAAAAAAAAAAAAAUCAUGUGGAGGAUUCCACCCAAAAGAAACUCAAAAGAAAGGCUAAGAAAACAAAUGGAAAAAACUUUCAGGCAUCAGUGAAACAUAUCUGUCAAUCCCUAUAAAGAUCUGACAAAAAAAUUCAAUUAUAAUCUUGCUAAAAGCACAACAUAUCUUAGAAGUCUUGACAAUGAUGCAAAUUUUGGUCCAGGUUGGUGAAGCUAGAGUGUGAAAAUCAGAUAACUCAGGGAUAUCACGGGUUUUCAAAAAUUUACUUGAGGGUAUUCUUGGAAGUUAAGAAAAAUCACUAAUAUGACGGGACAAUCUAUAGUAUAAUAAUCAAUCUGAAAAAGUUGUGGAUUAUGCAUGUUUUAAGUUAAAAAUUCUUAAAAUUACUUCUCUCUAUAAGCUACACCAAACACAACAAUACCAGCUUAUAGUAAGGUAUAAACUAUGAUCCUGUAACCUAGCUGCACCAAACAGGCUUCAUCAACUUGAAAUAAUUUUCUCUCAUCAUCUCGUCUUUAUAAUUCCUAAUAAUCCAUUCCUCCCAGUUUCCUUCUCUUUCAUUGUCAAGAUUUCAUAACAAACUAACAAAAAUAGCAACCCAUAGUGAAAAAUCUCUGUUGCAAGUGAGAUGGAAACAAGUACGGUCAUAAUGACCAACAAAAUAUCUAUUUUGUAGAAGUAAAACAAAGUUAGAUCAAGAAGUGAAUGGCGAUAAGAGAAGAUAAAAAAAAGACAGAAAAGGCAAUAUACUAAUUUAAUAUGCCUCACCUAUAGAAAGUGAAAGUUCUAUGUUUUUACAAAACUAUCUAAACACAACUUACACCCUGUACAAGUUAUUGAUCAUAUUAGAAGGAGGGGGGGAUGUUUAAGACACUACCGUAGUGAUGGAGCAUAUUAAUUCAAAAUGAAUAAUGCAGAGCUAAAGAUGAAUAGUUCGAUCUACGUACUAUACACAAAUUCCUUGAACUUCAUUAUCAAGAAUUGGGUCAUUCUAUCAAGUGCAGAGACCUCCUAGACUCCUAGAAAAUGAAUAUCUGCAUCAUCAUCCAAAUCUCGCACAAACAAUUUUCAUAUGUGCACCAAAACAUAGCAUGUCAUGAAUAGGAAUUUAUAAUAUUAGUUAAAAGAAUACAACUGCAUAAUACAUAAAACAUUGUACAUUAUCAAUAUAUAUUAAACAAGGUAUUAUUAUACCCAAAUCUACAUCCUACAUCUACAUCCUUCUCUCUCUCUCUUUCCUUUUUUUUAAUGACAAGUAAACUGCAUCCUACUCUCUUGGGGUUUCCAAAUCAGCAUGUUCAUGGAGUUGUUGCAAAUAAAGGAAGCCACUGUCAUAGAUACCGGAACAGCAUCAUUUAAUAUCAUCCCAUAAGUGUUCAUAUAUGAUAUAGUCCCAGAUGUGCAAAUGCACCCCAAAGUUGUUAACAUCUCCGUUGAUUGUCCAUGAGAAACCUAAGGCAACAUUCAAACUCUGAAAUUCCAUUUCCCAAAACAAUUAAAAGGAGUUGAAAAGUAAAUUCAUUACUACAAAGGUUCUCUUUCUCUUUCCCUUUUCUAUCCAAAGAAACCAGAGGAAAAAAAAUCAAACCACUGAUAUAUAAAAUAAAACCGAUCAUAAAAGUCCAACCACCAUUACGCUUGUGUAUAAAAUUCAAUAAGAACAUAGAACAGGGUUAUUAAUCUGCACUGAAACAAAAUAAAACAAAAUUUUAAACGAAUCACCCUGAACUAUAAAACAACAAAAAUUGAUGUUAGAUCAAACUUUUUUGGCUGCAAAAAAAUAAAACCAACAAGCAAUAAUACAAUAGAACGGAAAACAUAACAAAAUACAAAAUGAAUCCGGCAGUGACUCAACGAAAUCGAUAAGUAUACAAAGAUACAACUCAAUCGAACCAAUUAAAUCGACAAAUUCAUCGGAAAACUGGGAGAAAUAUGUAUAAUUUUUUGUGCCGGAUAAGCGUACCGUUAGAGGUUGAAUUAAAGGCUGACGACGGCGAGUCAAAUUGAUCAAAGGGAAGAGAAGACGAUGAGAAAGAUAACAGAUGGCUUAAGGAGAGAAGAUUCUGGUUUUCGCAAAGAUAAUUGGGGGAGGAGAGAGAAAGGGAGGAGAUUGUAAUGGAAAGAAAGAAGUUUUGUUUUUUUGAUAUUCCCAACCAACA